UACGGAAGGCAGCAGUGGGGAAUAUUGCACAAUGGGCGAAAGCCUGAUGCAGCUAUGCCGCGUGUAUGAAGAAGGCCUUAGAGUUGUAAAGUACUUUCAUCGGGGAGGAAAAAACAAAACUAAUAAUUUUAUUUCUUGACGUUACCCGAAAAAGAAGCACCGGCUAACUCCGUGCCAGCAGCCGCGGUAAUACGGAGGGUGCUAGCGUUAAUCAGAAUUACUGGGCGUAAAGAGCACGUAGGUGGUUUUUUAAGUCAGAUGUGAAAUCCCUGGGCUUAACCUAGGAACUGCAUUUUGAAACUGAAAUACUAGAGUAUCGUAGAGGGAGGUAGAAUUCUAGGUGUAGCGGUGAAAUGCGUAGAUAUCUGGAGGAAUACCUGUGGCGAAAGCGGCCUCCUAAACGAAUACUGACACUGAGGUGCGAAAGCGUGGGGAGCAAACAGGGAUUAGAUACC
rnacentral:rRNA from 1 species